GAUGAAGAACGUAGCGAAAUGCGAUACUUGGUGUGAAUUGCAGAAUCCCGUGAACCAUCGAGUCUUUGAACGCAAGUUGCGCCUCAAGCCAUUAGGUUGAGGGCACGUCUGCCUGGGCGUCACAUAUCGUUGCCUGAUGCCAGUUUCCUCGUGAUGGGUGACUGUGCAGGGCGAAUGAUGGCUUCCCGUGAGCAUUGUUGCCUCAUGGUUGGUUGAAAAUUGAGUCCUUGGUAGGGAGCGCCGUGAUAGAUGGUGGUUGAGUGACGAACGAGACCCAAUCAUGUGAGACCCCUACCGAAUUUGGCCUUCAUGACCCACAUGCGUCUUUGGAACGCUCAUGACGAGACCUCAGGUCAGGCGGGGCUACCCGCUGAGUUUAAGCAUAUCAAUAAGCGGGAGGA
rnacentral:misc_RNA from 1 species